rnacentral:rRNA from 1 species
CAGAGGGGGCAAGCGUUAUUCGGAAUUAUUGGGCGUAAAGGGCGCGUAGGCGGCUUUGCAAGUGACGGGUGAAAUCCCUCGGCUUAACCGAGGAACUGCCUGUCAAACUGCAUGGCUUGAGACCGGGAGAGGUGAGUGGAAUUCCCAGUGUAGCGGUGAAAUGCGUAGAUAUUGGGAGGAACACCAGUGGCGAAGGCGGCUCACUGGACCGGUACUGACGCUGAUGCGCGAAAGCGUGGGUAGCAAACAGGAUUAGAUACCCUGGUAGUCCACGCCGUAAACGAUGAGUGCUUGGUGUAGCGGGUAUCGACCCCUGCUGUGCCGAAGUCAACACACUAAGCACUCCGCCUGGGGAGUACGGUCGCAAGGCUG